UUGUUCCUUUCCAUUACUUAAACAGCCGUAAAGUCAGUCGCACGUGUCAACUGGCAGGCCUGGGUGGAGUUUGGCAGUGAGGCAGCUUAGUGGAAAUGGAAGAAAGUUCCCCAAGGUGCCUGAGGAAAGAAACCUUCAUUUGAGGUGGCCUUGGGGUGCUCUCUAGUGAUGUGCCCCGUAGACUCAGUAACAUCCACCAGAAAUCUCAGGUGUGGCCUAGAANNNNNNNNNNNNNNNNNNNNGCAAACACAAAAGAGAAAACAAAAGGGGAGAGAGGGAGAAAAAAAAAAAAUGCAAGCAGAUCUGAUGGAGUGAGAUAGGGAACUGGCCAGAUGAGGGAAGGCCCAGCUGAGAGAAAUUGUCCUGAGCGGGAACCUCCGCACCCUGCCCUGCCCACCUGUACCUGGCAUUGACCCCCACCUCUUCUGUGCAUGCUCUAGCUGCUAAACACCAGCCACCUGAAAGGUAUUAGCAAUCAGAAGACAGAGGCCAACUUUCAAAGAAGCUCAGAAAGAGGGGCCAGCUUGAUCCUUUGUGGCUGAUUCUGCAGCUGUUGCUGAGCCUGGGGCGGUAGCCCCCUUGACUACCGUAAUUACCCGCCCCCCUGCACCCCCACACCCUCUUUGCAGCUUCUCACUUCUUGGCCUCAGGCCCAGCCCUGAAAAUCUCCCAUGGAGCAGGAGGAAGUCCAGGAGGCAGCCUGCACUCCUGGUGAGAAGCGACCAGGUGACCACGUGCUCCAGAAAUUCGAUCCUCAGAGGCUUGCUCGGUGAGCAGGACGAGGAGCAAAGCAAGGCCUUGGAGAGUCUCUGUGAUGGGUGUAUUAGGACAAGCCUGAGGAUUGAACGUUGAGAUCAAAAUAUGAUCUUCCUCAGCUGAUAUAACUUCUAAAAUAAAUCAUUCAUACAGCCGGUGACUCAUACCAUCCAUUCCAGCAUGCUCUGCUGUUUGUCAGGAGGUUUUUAUUUAAUUUAAGCAUUUUCAUUAUGGCGGAUUUUUAUUAUGUCCUGUUCAGUUCUGAGUCUUGGGCAGUUGUUAUAAUAAGGUUGCUAGUCAGGGGCUGAAGAUAAAGAACAGGAAGCCAAUAAUUAAAAGGCAACCAAGAGUGCACUCUGCCAAGUGUAAAAGAUCAGAUCUAAAAUGGCAUGAAGAUGGGCUAAAAGCCAAAACUAUUAAUGCAAAAUAUGAUUGUUUCCAGUAAUGAGCUGAUGCAUGUUGGGGCUUCUGGGUUACAAGGGGGAUUUUGUGAGAUAAUCAGACCAACAGUAUUAGGCGGGACAAUCUUGAUUUUCCCCUUCCUACAAUAUCUCCUCCUGGGACUCCA
rnacentral:lncRNA from 1 species